rnacentral:lncRNA from 1 species
CGAGUACUUGGAUUGGAUUGAUCACCAGGCCGUCUGAUCAUAGAAGCAAGAAGGGUUUAAAGAUCCUCUCUUUCUAUUCGAUGGGGUGCUCUUAUGGCAUAUAGAGGUCCAACUUUGAUUAAUGGCUUGGAUCCAUAGAGUCUGAAAUAAAGUCCAUAAUGGUCAAUGGUGUAUGGACACUCGUUAAUCCACUCGAAAGGGUAAA